rnacentral:rRNA from 1 species
GACCAUGGCUCAGGAUGAACGCUAGCGGCAGGCUUAACACAUGCAAGUCGAGGGGCAGCGCGGGAUAGCAAUAUCCUGGCGGCGACCGGCGGAAGGGUGCGUAACGCGUGAGCGACAUGCCCGUUGCCCGGGGACAACCGGUGGAAACGCCGACUAAUCCCCGAUGGGAUAUUGUGCCGCAUGGCACGAUAUUGAAAGUUACGGCGGCGACGGAUUGGCUCGCGUCCGAUUAGCUUGUUGG